GACGAACCGUGCAAACGUUGUUCGGAAUCACUGGGCUUAAAGGGCGCGUAGGCGGGUUCCCAAGUCGGUGGUGAAAUCUUUCAGCUCAACUGGAAAAAGUGCCGCCGAUACUGGGGAGUCUUGAGGGGAGGUAGGGGUCGAGGGAACUGGUGGUGUAGCAGUGAAAUGCGUAGAGAUCAUGAGGAAGACCAGUGGCGAAGGCGGGGUCUCUGGACAGUUCCUGACACUGAGACACGAAGGCCAGGGGGAGCAAACGGG
rnacentral:rRNA from 1 species